GACGUAGGUGGCAAGCGUUGUCCGGAGUUAUUGGGCGUAAAGCGUGCGCAGGCGGUUCGUUGUGUCGGCGGUGAAAGCCCCGGGCUUAACCUGGGAAUGGCCGUUGAAACUGGCGAACUGGAGUGUGGCAGAGGGGGGUGGAAUUCCGCGUGUAGCAGUGAAAUGCGUAGAGAUGCGGAGGAACACCGAUGGCGAAGGCAGCCCCCUGGGCUAACACUGACGCUCAGGCACGAAAGCGUGGGGAGCAAACAGG
rnacentral:rRNA from 1 species